GAUGAAGAACGCAGCGAAAUGCGAUAAGUAAUGCGAAUUGCAGAAUUCAGUGAGUCAUCGAAUCUUUGAACGCACAUUGCGCCCUGUGGUAUUCCGCAGGGCAUGCCUGUUCGAGCGUCAUUUCAACCCUCAAGCCUCGCGUGGUGUUGGGCCCUGCCCGCCGCGGCCGGCCCUAAAGAUAGUGGCGGCGCCGCCUGGCCCUCAGCGUAGUACAGCUCUCGCUCCAGGGUCCGGCGGCAGCCUGCCAGAACCCCCCAACUCUGUGGUUGACCUCGGAUCAGGUAGGGAUACCCGCUGAACUUAAGCAUAUCAAUAAGCGGAGGA
rnacentral:misc_RNA from 1 species